rfam:Equus caballus cont2.19956, whole genome shotgun sequence.
GAGAGACAACAGAUUUACAUCCCAGACACUUUCCCUGGGCCAGAGCAGCUGCCACUGCAGAAUCUACUCACGUACUUUUUUUCUUCCCUCUCCUUCUUGGAGUUGAUCAGAAUAGAAGUUGGGGAGGUGAGGGGGGAG